GACGUAGGUGGCGAACGUUAUCCGGAAUCAUUGGGCGUAAAGGGUGCGUAGGCGGCGCGGUAAGUCGGAUGUGAAAUCUCGGAGCUUAACUUCGAAACUGCAUUCGAUACUGCCGUGCUUGAGGACUGGAGAGGAGACUGGAAUUUACGGUGUAGCGGUGAAAUGCGUAGAUAUCGUAAGGAAGACCAGUGGCGAAGGCGGGUCUCUGGACAGUUCCUGACGCUGAGGCACGAAGGUCAGGGGAGCAAACGGG
rnacentral:rRNA from 1 species